AGCGGAGGAAAAGAAACUAACCGAGAUGCCACUUAKCUAUACGGYGAGCGAACCGGGCAAAGCCCCAACUUGAAAAUCUCCAGCCUAUGGCUGGCGAAUUGUAGUCUAGAGAAGCGCUCUCUGCCCCACCCCGGCCCCAAGUCCCCUGGAAAGGGGCGUCAAAGAGGGUGAGAACCCCGUUGGGACCGGAUUUUGGGGCUCCACGAGACGCUUUCGUAGAGUCGGGUUGCUUGGGAAUGCAGCCCAAAGAAGGUGGUAAAUCCCAUCUAAGGCUAAAUACAGACGGGAGACCGAUAGCGAACAAGUACCGUGAGGGAAAGAUGAAAAGAACUUUGAAAAGAGAGUUAAAAAGUACUUGAAAUUGUUGAGAGGGAAGCGAUUGGAUCCUACGGGUGCACCCAGGCACACGCCUGCCUAACGGUUGGCUGAAUGCGCUGGGUGCUGGUCAGCAUGGGUUGUCCGGGCGGGAUAAAACCGGGGGUUGUUACCCCGGCUAUGUCGCCUGGCCGACCGAGGAACGAAGGGCGCUCUUUGAGUCCUCCGGGAACUGCGCCCUCAAGAUGCUGGCGGAAAGGUUCUAAUCGGCCCGUCUUGAAACACGGACCAAGGAGUCUAACAUGCAUGCGAGCUGGUGGGUGGCAAACCCAUGAAGCGCAAGUAACCUGACUGGUGGGACGGCCUGUGCCUGCACCAUCGACCCCGCUUGAUGUUUUCAGAAGGCUGGGAGUACGAGCAUGCACGUUGGGACCCGAAAGAUGGUGAACUAUGCCUGAGCAGGGCGAAGCCAGAGGAAACUCUGGUGGAGGCUCGUAGAUGUGCUGACGUGCAAAUCGCWUUUCGGACUGUGGGUAUAGGGGCGAAAGACUAAUCGAACCUUCUAGUA
rnacentral:rRNA from 1 species